AUUGAACGCUGGCGGCAGGCCUAACACAUGCAAGUCGAACGAGUGGCGGACGGGUGAGUACUGUCUGGGAAACUGCCUGAUGUAGGGGGAUAACUCAUAGAAACGGUAGCUAAUACCGCAUAACAUCCGAUGUGCCCAGCUGGGAUUAGCUAGUAGGUGGGGUAACGGUUCACCUAGGCUACGAUACCUAGCUGGUCUGAGAGGAUGACCAGCAAAACUGGAACGGAGACACGGGCCAGAGUCCGACGGGAGGCAGCAGUGGGGAAUAUUGCACAAUGGGCGCAAGCCUGAUGCAGCCAUGCCGCGUGUAUGAAGAAGGCCUUCGGGUUGUAAAGUACUUUCAGCGGGGAGGCGUGACCCGCAGAAGAAGCACCGGCUAACUCCGUGCCAGCAGCCGCGGUAAUAC
rnacentral:rRNA from 1 species